CCAGCUUGGGAGUAUACUUAGCUACAGCAAGAGCACCAUCAGGAAGGAACAGGACUAAAGACCAUUACAUAGGAGGCAGAAAACCAUGGUUCUGGAAGGGGCUCUGGGAGCUCAAGACAGUCAUCCCUCUUCAGCUCUGCUGUGGUGGUCUUAGAGACUACUAAGAAGUGCUUUCUAUUGUGGUAUCCAACGCUGAAAGAAAUCUGGCUUGUCCUAGACAGGGCAUCCCGCAUCUCAGGACUUCUUGGUCUGGUAAUAGUAGUGGAAGAAAAGAAACUGAAAGACCCAGACCCUCAUCAAAACUCUGAAGAACCAUUCUAUUCUAGUAAUCACCAUGAGGCCAGCUGAGGCCUGGUGGCAAGCCCAAAGCCUAGCUCUUUUUGCUCAUUCCUGCCUCUUUUUCUGCCUUUGCAGAAGUUGGUCCUGGGAGCACUGUAACAAUUACAUGCAGUUCUCCAUCCAGAGUCUGAAUACUGGAAACCCCAACAUAAAAUAGGUGUGCUCAGCUAUUUUUUUUGCUCAACCAACCAAUUCUCUAUUGACUCACCUUCUUUUUUCUCUUCCCUGUGGUAGGCAACAUAAUGACACCUACACUAAAAGAUACCUGUCCUUCAGCCUCAGGAUCCUAUGAAUGUGUUAUUAUAUAGCAAAAGAGACUUUGUAGAAGUGAUCGGAACACUAAACCAAAAUAAUUUGAUUUGCUUGUGUUUUUCAAGAUUAGACCCAGUCUAAUUAUGCACAUCCUUGAAAGUGGAAAAGCUUUCCUGGUUGUAGUCAGAGAUGUUAAUACUUGAGAAUGGUCACUAAGAUGCAAUAUUGCUACCUUUAAAGAUGGAGAAAAGGGCCACAGUCAAAGAAUAUGGGCAGCUUCUAGAAGCUGGAAAGAACAAGGAAAUGAAUUUUCCCCAAGGUCUUCAGGAGACCUGAUUCCUUGGUUUCAGCUGGUGAGAGUUAUGUUAGACCUCUGAUUUACAGAACUAUGAGACAAUAAAUUUGUGUUGCUUUACAUCACUAAGCUUUUGGUAAUUUUUUGUAUCAGAAUA